GACAGAGGGUGCGAGCGUUGUCCGGAAUCACUGGGCGUAAAGGGCGCGUAGGCGGACUCUUAAGUCGGGGGGUGAAAGCCCAGGGCUCAACCCUGGAAUUGCCUUCGAUACUGAGAGUCUUGAGUUCGGAAGAGGUUGGUGGAACUGCGAGUGUAGAGGUGAAAUUCGUAGAUAUUCGCAAGAACACCAGUGGCGAAGGCGGCCAACUGGUCCGAUACUGACGCUGAGGCGCGAAAGCGUGGGGAGCAAACAGG
rnacentral:rRNA from 1 species